rnacentral:rRNA from 1 species
CCUACGGGAGGCAGCAGUGAGGAAUAUUGGUCAAUGAGCGUAAGCCUGAACCAGCCAAGUCGCGUGAGGGAUGAAGGUUCUAUGGAUCGUAAACCUCUUUUAUAAGGGAAUAAAGUGUGGGACGUGUCCUAUUUUGUAUGUACCUUAUGAAUAAGGAUCGGCUAACUCCGUGCCAGCAGCCGCGGUAAUACGGAGGAUGCGAGCGUUAUCCGGAUUUAUUGGGUUUAAAGGGUGCGUAGGCGGGCUUUUAAGUCAGCGGUGAAAGUCUGUGGCUCAACCAUAGAAUUGCCGUUGAAACUGGGGGGCUUGAGUAUGUUUGAGGCAGGCGGAAUGCGUGGUGUAGCGGUGAAAUGCGUAGAUAUAACGCAGAACCCCGAUGGCGAAGGCAGACUGCCAGGCCAUGACUGACGCUGAGGCACGAAAGCGUGGGGAUCAAACAGGAUUAGAUACCCUAGUAGUC